GGUGGCAAAAGUUGACACCACCCAUAACCGAGGUUUUCUGAGACUCUACCAGCUAGAGUCUUUGAAAACUAUACCAAGGGUAUAAAGGUAAAUUCACGUGCUUAUUUGUGGUGACCCACUAAUUAAACAUUUCCCUUUAAUUUUCUACUUCUCUCUACAAUUCUGGUUUCAAUUUUCAAAUUUCAAAAUAUAUUUUAUUUAUUCUUUUUCUUAUUUGUAAAAGUAGAUAGUAUUUAAUUUGUUAAAAUUUUCUCUCUCUUCUAAAAUCACUUCAAACUUUCUGAGAUUUUCGAAUCUCUCUGCUUUAACUCUUCGCAUUUCAAUUUUCCAUUUUCUAGGGUUCUUUCUCUCAUCUUAUUUCCCUCAUAUUUACUGAUUUCAUAUUUUAAUUCUAAUUCCUAAAUUACAUUGAUCUCGUUCUUUAGAAAUUAAGGUUUUUAAUUAUUUUGAAAUUGAAUUGUUCUUCAGGUAUGGAAGAUGUUCAAAGCACGACAGCACAAGACUAUGGCGGCAAUCAAGAAGUUCCGGAAAUCGGUUUGUGCAUCUGUUGGCAGACUACACUUGUCUCUAAAACCCACUUCUCUCCAAUUUUCAAUUGAGUACGUGUUUCAUCCUUGAAAUUUAGAAGUACAUUCAAAGACUUGAAUUAUGAAGGCUUGCGUCUGUUGAAAUCUGGAAAAGAAAUCGUCAAAAGAUGAAGACGCUUAUGCAGAAGUACACUAUUUCCAAAUGCUUCAGAUAUGGAGAUAUUUUCUUUAUAUGGAGUUGGAAUUCCUACUGAGAGAGCCUAUAUUUACAAGCUGAGUGCAACAACAGAUUGUUACAUUCCUUUUCAGAUUGAUACAAUGGCAGACAGUUCAGAUGAGUGCUCUUGUCUCAAAGGAGGGGUUUACAAUGUUAAUGGAGAUGAAACAGUUCCUGUUUUGAGUGCUGGUUACAUGUGUGCUAAAGCAUGGAAAGGGAAAACCCGGUUUAACCCUUCUGGAAUGCAAACUUUUAUAAGGGAGUAUGAUCAUGCUCCUCCUGCUAAUCUAUUAGAGGGUAGAGGCACCCAAGAAUCACUUGCCAUACGUAAGGCAACUGUUACAGAAAAAAAAUACUCAGUGGAAAGUGAUGUAGUUAGGACUUAGGACCUUGAAAAUGUUGUCUCAAGAGCACCUGUGGAAAGAUUCUCACUAUUCGGCGUGGCUGGUUUGUGGUGUGGGUGAACCAAGAACCAUGGCCUGUGCCAGAUGGUGCUGGGGAUUGGUACCUCAAAAUUACAAAUCAAAGCAGCAACAACAUUAGAGAGUUUCAGGCUAAGCUCCUACCUGUUAAAGAAAGUGGAUACUCCCUUGAGGCUACUGAUUAUGGAGGCUGAAAAUAUAGAUUUCAUAUAGUGAUAUACAGAGUAUAUAUGUAACAUUUGUUUAUAAGAUCAAUCAUAUUUUAUUCGAUUAAUAUCAUAGUUUUUUUUCUUCUUAUAAGUACUUAAUUUAGAUUAGCCCUAACCAUCUAGAAAAUCAUAUUUGCUUCAUUAUGACUUUUGUAAGUCAUAUGACUACCUUUUAUGUUUGCUUACGCAAGAUAAUUUCCUA